UUGGCCAGGCACCAAUCAUCUGCCUCCUUCUGUGCCUGCCUGGCUGCCCCUACCCUGGGGCUCCCUCCUAGCCCCCACCUCACCUACUGGCUCACUGAGACAGAGCCAAACAUGAAAGGGAAGGUGACGGCCUGGCCAUAGGGCCCAGGAAAAUGCAGGUAUCAUUAACAGCCUGGAGCACUGUGGCCUGUCCACUCUCAACCCUCUGCUGCCCACCCCUUCCUGGAAUAGACCCCAGGCCACAUACAGAGGGGGCAAGCCCAAGCCAGGAUUGAAGGAGAUCCCAUCUUGGGUCUAAAGGAAUGGGGGUGAAGACUGCAUCUUGUCGUUCCAGUUCCACCCCAUUCUGGCAUGGGAAGCAUGUGUGGGCUUCUACUCUAUGGGAGAUUCAUAGGGGUCUGGAAUGGAGAGGGCACAUCAGAGAGGCGACCAGCAAAUGAAUGAAUGAAUCCCACCAUUCUGUGUUUUAGAUGCUGACGAUACGACAGUGAAUACAACAUGAAAAAACAAGCACACUUCUCACCCCUAUGGAGCUUUAUUCUGGUCAGGCAGAAGGAGAAGGAAAUGUAAACAUGCAAGGUCAGGAGCAACUUUUUGGCACUCCCAUUUUGCAGAAGAGGAAACAGCCUGCCUAGGUCUGCUGAUUCCUGUCCUGGAUGUGUCCCCAUCGUUAGGUGAUGCAUGACUCUACUCUGACAUCCUCUCCAGCUUUCAUCUGUUUUUAUUUUUAUGAUGUGCUGAAGACAGGACAUUGUAUCUGCUCUUCCCUCUGUAAGUCUUGCCAUGCCCUUUGGCCAAAGGCAACUCAAAUAUGGACUUCCUACUGUCACCAUCAAGGUCACUAUGAUCUAAGUGUUUUUUAGGGCUUGUGCAGAGAAGGAAGAAGAUGCCCCCUGCCUUCUCUGCUCCCCAUCAUGUAGGAAAGAAGACACAGGCUGAGCCCCGGGAGGAGAGAUCAAAGCUUUGGAUCUGAAAGAGUGGUUCCAGCCCAGCAGCAUGAACAUGGCCUGGGAAUGUGUUAGACAUGCAGGUUCUCAGGCCCCACCCCACACCUGCUGGAUCAAAAACUCUGAUUUCUGCACUUGAGCAUACAUCACUCAAGUUUGAGAACCACUGCAUUAGAGAACAGAAACCCUCAACCAUAGCAUGCAGGAACAGCGAAGCCAUGAAGACACAUCCAGGUCUGAGGAAGUCAUUUUAGCCUGGAAAGGAAAAGAAGGAGGGCAUCAUCGGCAUAGGCCUGGGAGCCCCCCACACUCAGCACUCCUGAAAGCGCACAGACAGGGAGGUCUGGGGUCUGGAAAAACAACAGGAAUCUUGGGAAUUAUAAGGCUGAGAAGGAGGUGGGGAGGAGGCAACGUGCCUGGCUGCUGCUCAGUCCUCCUCACUGGCAGGGGGUCCCAGCAGCCUUGUUCCCCAGGCCCAUGCUGAAUUUGCUAGUGAUGCUGGCAUUCCCAGCUGUGGUUCGGCACCAAGGUCCAGUGACCCCCCUAGACCCAGCCCAGGGCCAUUUCCCUAAUAGAGACCUAACCAGAGGGCCAGAGUUUGGGGUGCUGACGCAUUGACUAUGUAAGGGCCCCGACCCACUACCCCAUCCACUGUCCUC
rnacentral:lncRNA from 10 species